AGAAAUGACAGCAUCACUCCCACGGAGCCGCCUCCAUCCCAGUCGUCCCCAUUGUGACAAUCUCAGAGGCUACGUUCUCCAAUGGCUGAGCUACAAGAUGGGGAAAAGCUGCCCAACCUAGUUUGCAAUGCCACCUCAGUAAGCUGAGACGUGGUAAUCGCCAUGGCAACAGGGCUGCAUUAAAAGCACCGUGCACACAAAGUGGAGGGCUGGUGCCUGGCAGAGUUCAGUCUGAUCUCACUGCACAUAUUUCCUAAUUAAGAUGCACCUUUUGGUUUUGUCUUGAAAAAAAAAAAAAGAAAAAGAAAAAGAAAAGAAAGGAAAGGAAAGUGCUCCCUUUAUAGCUACAAGGCAGAAGAAAAAUUAAGGCGAAGAUCCUUUCAUGCCGAAUACGGGCCUUCCAGGUAGUUGCGGCAUGGGGAAUCACGGGCAGCAAGUGAGAAAGUGCACAGUGAUUUGCCGCUGUUACAGCCUGAGAAACUGGGGGAAUGUCAUCGAAGUCCUUGAAUAGCUGGAGAGUGGGUGUGGGAUGGUUAUGUUUGAAAAUGCAGCUCUGAUAUAAACGAAGCAGAGAUUGCAGUGUUUACUCAGCAAGAGCCUAGCUGGAGACCCUAAGCCUGCCUUCUCCCACUUGGAUCGAAGCUUCCGCCAUCAACAGGCCACAAAACCCAUGCUUCCUGCUUUCUGAGGCUUCUGACUUUAGUUCCCCGGAAUCCUCCUUCCUUGUCAGGUGUCUGUGUCCAGGGCUGGGGGAGACCAGACUGAGGUUUGUCCUUGCCUGCCUACGAGGACAAGGCAUACUAUUGCUGUAGACCACUUGUUUACAUGCCCCUAAAAUUCAUAUGUUGAAGCCUGAAUCCCCAGUGUAAUGAUAUUUGGAGGUGGGGCCUUUGAAAGGUGAUUAGGUUUAUAUGAGGUCAUGAGGGUGGGACCCUCAAAACUGGAUUAAUGUUCUUUAAGAAGAGACACAACAGAGCUUGCUUCCUCUCUCUCUAUCAUGUGAAGACGCAGCAAGGAGGUGGCUGUCUGCAAACCAGAAAGAGAGCCCUCACCAGGAACCAGAUCUGCUGGCAGCUUGAUCUUGGACUUCCCAGCCCUUAGAGCUGUGAGAAAUGUUACCUCCAGGUCCAUGAGGUAUUUGUUACAGCACCAGGUGCUGCCUGAGAAUGCUACCUUUAGAGAGGCCCCAGGAAGCCUGUGUGCUGGGUCCCUGGGGAGACAAUGAAGGUGCUUGACACCCGGUUUGAAUAUUGGGUCACUGCAAAGCUGUCUGCUGCUGGAGGACAGCCAGUGAGAGGUCAUAGCAAGACAUCGGAAGAAGCAGAAGUCAUGAGCAGGCUGAUGCUAUGAGACUGAGACAAAAUGACACAUUGCCCCAGGAAGAGGGACAAAGAGGCAGCAGGCAGAAACCGUGGGGAUCAGUAAUCUCCUGCUGCCACUAAGGCCCCGGGACUAACUCGGAUCCAGUACUGCUCUCCUGGGGCCUGUUCUGACUCCAGCCCCUGUCCUUGGGGUCCCCUGAGAUACCUGUAGCCUUGCAAUAAGCCCACAGUAUCAUAUUUCCCCUGCUGACCACACCCUAGAGCAUUUCUAACAAUUUCCCGUGCUUUUCCCCUUCGCACACCACUGGGCCUUUGCAGGCGCUAGUGCCUCCUCGAUUUGCCCUGACUUCUCCUUCAUCCUCAGACUCCUCAGCUUUGUCCCUUCCUAGGGGAGGACUCUCUUUCCCCCAGUGGGCCCCAUGGUCUUCCCUGACGUCCUCACUGCCGUCCUUGUUCUCUGCUCAGAAGGAGGCAGAUGCUGGCCUGUCCCCACUCACCUGUAGACUGACUAGAUGAAUUGACCUGGGCUGGGCAGGGCAGGUGUGUUUGACCAAAUAUCUGGGCACCCCAUGGCCCAGUCAAGUUGACACAUAAAGUUAACUGCCAUAGGGCCCCUUCAUUGUAUUUGUCUAUGAACAAAAAACAGCAUCAACUCCAGGUAUCUGAGGGUUCUGAAGACAGGUUCUGUGAUCCCUUUUUACAGAUGAGGAUGCAGAGGUUCAGUUAUCACUCACCCAGAUCACACCCUCAUCUGCUGAUGGCAAGAGUAUUUGAUGGGAUGUGUGAGCCCGGCCAUCUCCUUCAGGACAUACCGGCUCAUUAAAUUUGCCAGCCCCUGCCUGGAAAAGUAUUUAAUUUGCCUUUUACAAUGCACCGAUUUCAAGUUAAUUAACUGGCAAUUGAAAGUUAUAGGUGGCAUUCGAAUUUAUUAAUAACAUUGGAAAUAAAUCUCCCUGGAAUUCAAUUAA